ACGGAAGGCAGCAGUGGGGGAUAUUGCGCAAUGGGGGAAACCCUGACGCAGCAACGCCGCGUGUGGGAAGAAGGUCUUCGGAUUGUAAACCACUGUCUUCGGUGACGAUAAUGACGGUAGCCGAGGAGGAAGCUCCGGCUAACUACGUGCCAGCAGCCGCGGUAAUACGUAGGGAGCGAGCGUUAUCCGGAUUUACUGGGUGUAAAGGGUGCGUAGGCGGGACUGUAAGUCAGGCGUGAAAUCUAUCGGCUUAACCGGUAAACUGCGCUUGAAACUAUGGUUCUUGAGUGAAGUAGAGGUAAGCGGAAUUCCCGGUGUAGCGGUGGAUGCGUAGAUACCGGGAGGAACACCAGUGGCGAAGGCGGCUUACUGGGCUUUUACUGACGCUGAGGUACGAAAGCGUGGGGAGCAAACAGGAUUAGAUACCCUGGUA
rnacentral:rRNA from 1 species